rnacentral:rRNA from 1 species
UGCGCAGGCGGUUAUGUAAGACAGAUGUGAAAUCCCCGGGCUCAACCUGGGAACUGCAUUUGUGACUGCAUGGCUAGAGUACGGUAGAGGGGGAUGGAAUUCCGCGUGUAGCAGUGAAAUGCGUAGAUAUGCGGAGGAACACCGAUGGCGAAGGCAAUCCCCUGGACCUGUACUGACGCUCAUACACGAAAGCGUGGGGAGCAAACA